GCAAGUCGAACGGUAACAUUUCUAGCUUGCUAGAAGAUGACGAGUGGCGGACGGGUGAGUAAUGCUUGGGAACUUGCCUUUACGAGGGGGAUAACAGUUGGAAACGACUGCUAAUACCGCAUAAUGUCUUCGGACCAAACGGGGCUUCGGCUCCGGCGCAAAGAGAGGCCCAAGUGAGAUUAGCUAGUUGGUAAGGUAACGGCUUACCAAGGCGACGAUCUCUAGCUGUUCUGAGAGGAAGAUCAGCCACACUGGGACUGAGACACGGCCCAGACUCCUACGGGAGGCAGCAGUGGGGAAUAUUGCACAAUGGGGGAAACCCUGAUGCAGCCAUGCCGCGUGUGUGAAGAAGGCCUUCGGGUUGUAAAGCACUUUCAGUUGUGAGGAAAAGUUAGUAGUUAAUACCUGCUAGCCGUGACGUUAACAACAGAAGAAGCACCGGCUAACUCCGUGCCAGCAGCCGCGGUAAUACGGAGGGUGCGAGCGUUAAUCGGAAUUACUGGGCGUAAAGCGCACGCAGGCGGUUUGUUAAGCUAGAUGUGAAAGCCCCGGGCUCAACCUGGAUGGUCAU
rnacentral:rRNA from 1 species